AUCGGGAAGAGGAAGAAAUGAGCAUGUAAGAGCAUUGGGCAUGGGCACAUGGAGGAAGGCCUAAACUAGUGUGACCCUGUCCAACUAGGGUUCAAUAUUUGUUUUGGAAUUUCUCCGAUGCCUCCCAUGCCUAUUGUUCUUAGGUGUUCCUUCCU
rnacentral:pre_miRNA from 1 species